rnacentral:rRNA from 1 species
CAGCAGCCGCGGUAAUACCAGCCCCCCGAGUGGUAGGGAUGUUUAUUUGGCCUAAAGCGUCCGUAGCCGGUUAAGUAAAUUUCUCGUUAAAUCCAACGUCCAAGCGUUGGGCUGCGAGAAAGACUGCUAAACUAGAGGGUGGGAGAGGUCAGCGGUAUUCCUGGGGUAGGGGCGAAAUCCUUUGAACCCAGGAGGACCACCAGUGGCGAAGGCUGCUGACUAGAACACGCCUGACGGUGAGGGACGAAAGCUGGGGUAGCGAAUCGGAUUAGAUACCCGAGUAGUCCCAGCUGUAAACGAUGCAGACUAGGUGUUGGGUUGGCCACGCGCCGACUCAGUGCCACAGGGAAGCCAUUAAGUCUGCCGCCUGGGAAGUACGGCCGCAAGGCUGAAACUUAAAGGAAUUGGCGGGGGAGCACCACCAGGCGUGAAGCCUGCGGUUUAAUUGGAGUCAACGCCGGGAACCUUACCGGGAGCGACAGCAGAGUGAAGGCCAGGCUAAAGGUCUUGCCAGACGAGCUGAGAGGAGGUGCAUGGCCGUCGCCAGUUCGUGCCGUGAGGUGUCCUCUUAAGUGAGGUAACGAACGAGACCCGCGCCGCAUGUUGCUAACAAGUCCUAAAGGGAUGUUGAGCACUCUUGCGGGACCGCAGCCGACAAGGCUGAGGAAGGUGCGGGCAACGGCAGGUCAGUAUGCCCCGAAUCUCCCGGGCCACACGCGGGCUGCAAUGGUAGAGACAGAGGGCUGCAACCCCGAAAGGGGAAGCCAAUCCCUAAACUCUACCUCAGUUGGGAUUGAGGGCUGCAACCCGCCCUCAUGAACAUGGAAUGCCUAGUAACCGCCAGUCAUCAUCUGGCGGUGAAUACGUCCCUGCCCCUUGCACAC